CCCGACCUUAACUCUCAUGGUGAAUAUUAAAUUUCAAACUCCAAAUCUUCCCAAAUCCUAUUAUGUCCAAACCCGUCCGUCCUAGGAAGAUUCCGUCUGAUUGUAGCUGCAAAAGCCCGACCCACUGCCAUCCCUACCUGAAACACUCAUCUGUUUUCCACCGCCGCUCCUCACUCCUUCAAGUUUCGAUCCCUUUCUUCCCUCUCUUUCAGUCGGUCACCAUUUUUUGGGUGGAGAUUGAUUAUUCUAGAGUUCAACGGCCCAGGCACGACACUUGGUGAAUGAGUGUCUUACCGUUGAGCCUAGCUGCUACUUUCCUUCAUAAAGCUCUGCCUUUUCAGUCCAAGAUGCUUAAAACGCUGAUGCCAAGAAGACGAUAAGGUUACUGCAAGGGAUUUAGGUGAUGAAUCUGUGCCUAUCCGCCAGUGGCAACAUUGGAGCUAAUCAAGAAAUGACAGAUGAAGGUGGUCUUCCUAGCUUUCCACUUGGACAUAUGAAUAAUUUGCCAGCAUCAUUUCCUAGUACUCCAGAUGCUUCUAUUGGUUCUGCUCUUGGCUCAUGCCCAUCUAAUCGGAUUAUGAUCAAAGUUGUAAGGGGAAAGUUCAUUCCUAAUGGUCAUGCUAUCUCAACCCAUAUCAUGGGCACCUUUAGGGAGCGACAGAAUGCUACUGGUUACAUAUGGAAGAAUGUCUCUCCAUCUACUCGUGACUUCUACUUAUGAAAAAAAUAUCAAUGGAAUGCAACUGAUGAUGGCUUAAUUAAUGACACUUGGGAUAAAGUGGUAUCUCUUCUAUACAAUAAGAAAUUAUACACUUGGCGGAAGAAAGGAACAAAACCUAUAGGUGUUGCACAAGAUGUAUGGGAUAGCUGGAUGGCACACUGGUCUACUCCAUAGUGGAUUGCUAAAUCUUGUAUUGCUUCUCAAAAUUGGCGUAGCGAGACUGGUAGUCUAGGCACUGGUUUAAGCAAGCAUACUGGCAGAAGAACUACACCGUGAUCCUAAUUCUUGGGAGCUGUUUAAAAAGUUGCAUAAAAAAAAGGAUGGAACCUUUGUUGAUGCCAGGUCUCAAAGCAUUAAUAUAAGAUCAAAUGGAGGCUAUAGUGAUUGCUGCUACUACUACUAAUGCUACUUCGAACUCACAGAUGACGAUUCACAAGAGAUCUCAAUCAAUGUCAAUCGCUAUACUUAGAUAUUGUGGGUGGAGAGAAGAAGUGACGUGUGUAUGGUUUGGGUUCUCAUGCUUCAACUUUAUACCCAGACUCAUUCAGCAGCUCUGUCACUUCCCGCAAGACAGCUACGGUGACAAAUUAUGUUGCUGAUGAGCGCAUUAAAGUGCUUGAGGAGAAGAUCGUAUGCAUGAGGGAAAAUCAAGAGCGAAUUCUUCAGCAACGCGUUGAGAGGAGGUAUCGCGCCUCAGGCAACAGAGUGAAGAGCAAUUUCGCUCUAUGCAAGAGGAGAUGAGGCGUAUAAUGAGCUUAUCAGCCGUUCUAUUGCACACUGGGAGAUACAUAUGUGAUCGAUGGUGUGACAGCCCGAGGUUCUAGAGAGACAGACAGAGAGCCUAGUAGACCACAGACUGGGUGAGGCCGUCCAUAAUUCUACAUAGUAUUCGUGUCACCUCACAGACUUCAGUGCAUUGUUGAAAAGGAUAUUGAAGAGCAUAAGGAACAUUGAGUCAAGGCCAAGAGGCAACUCAUCCGAGGUCUGUGCAUAAUACUUUUUAUAUUCACUGCUUUUACUGGAAACUUUAUUUGAAGAAAUGAGUUAUGAAUAAUUUUUUAUUGUUUUGAUUUUGGGAAUUUUAUUUGAGAAUUAUUGUGUUGCCUACUUUGUAAAUGGAAAUUUUGAGAUAAAAUGUGUUUAGUGGUAUCAGAGCAAAGUAGGGACGGCGAUACGUAACGUCUACAAUUCCUGGGAACUCUUACGCACGAACUGUGGCGAAGCGUGACUCUCUGCUCAGGAGCUUGCAGGGACGAUGAUACGUAACGCCUGCAAGUGCUCUGAUAGGUAGACAGACAGAUAGAGCAGCAAAUUAGGCUGCUUGUACUACACUUUGAGAUUUUGCCGGGUAUAUUGAGUAUACCACCUUUUGUAAUUUUUGUUGUAAUGUAUGUACACUGUAUAUAUAUAUAUUGUGGUCUUGAGCAGUUGUAAACGAAAGUUAUAAAUUAUUUUGGCCUAUAAAAAUGUUGUAUUAUAAUUUUCUUAUCUCAGCUUUGAAAUACUUAGUCAUUUUGCAUUCUAUUUUUGAAA